GUUUAUUAUAUAUAAAACGGGAUAUAUAUACGUGUAUUUCCUCUUCUGAAUUGUUAUCAUUAUAUUGUUGUCAGUAAGUGGUUUAUAAAUGAUAAAGUUUGUGAGAGCAGGUGGAAUAUUACCUCUAUCAUAUUCUAAACUGAGACUGAUGCCCCUGAUGUUGUGCAAUAUGAAGUAGUGGAGGUCCAGAGUCAGACCCAGAUAGACAGACAGAAGGCGGGGAUGAGUCUCCAGGGCCUCAAACACCACAGACAGAUGUCGGAGGGAGUGCAGUCUCCCCAGGAUGAUGAAGAGUCAGAUGGAGAUGAACCUCUUUUAAGUGGGUCAGGUGUGGUUAGCAAGGAGGUGACUGAUGACAACCUUCUGGAGGCGUGGCACGAGGUCCUCGUCAAGUGGCACCAGAAUCUGUCACAGAGGCCCAAACAGGUCCAGCAGCUGGCAAAGAAAGGCAUUCCAGAGGCUCUCAGAGGGGAAGUCUGGCAGCUGCUGGCUGGUUGUCAUGACAACUCGGAGUUGAUGGAGGCUUACAGGAUCCUCAUAACAAAAGAAUCUCCAAUGGAGAGUGUAAUCCAGAGGGACAUUAAUCGGACAUUCCCCGCCCAUGCAUUCUUCAAGCAGUCUGGGGGCCUUGGCCAGGACUCGCUGUACAGGAUCAGCAAAGCCUACUCUGUGUAUGAUGAGGAGAUAGGAUAUGUGCAAGGGUUGUCUUUCCUGGCUGCAGCUCUCCUGCUUCAUAUGCCUGAAGAGCAAGCAUUUUCAGUCCUUGUAAAGAUAUGUUUUGAUUAUGAGCUGAGAGAUUUGUUCAAGCAAGGAUUUGAAGUUUUACAUCUCAAGUUUUAUCAGCUGGAACGCUUAAUGCAGGUAGGUAUAACGACAGCUAGAUUUAAUUUAGUCUUCUCCAUCCUCAGAUAAAAGUUUAAAGAAAAACAGGAAGUGCAAAGAUGAAGUUUCAUAAAAACUAAUCCUAAAGAAAUGUAUGGUGGUGUUGAAAUUAUGAAUUAAAUUGUGAUACAUGUAUGACAAACUAUGGGAGUCCUGUUGAGUGUGACUCGUGAUUUUGACAGGACCUGACGGGUGACCUUUAUGAGCACUUUAUGGAGAUGGGGCUGGAGAUCCACAUGUUUGCCUCCCAGUGGUUCCUCACCCUUUUCACGGCAAAAUUCCCACUGUUUCUGGUCUUUCACAUUCUGGAUCUUUUUCUGUGCGAGGGAAAAGAUGUCAUUUUUAAUGUAGCAAUAGCUCUCCUAAAGAUGUCCAGGAAGGAUUUACUGGCAUUAGAUUUUGAGGGCAUUCUGAAGUACUUUAGGGUUCACAUGCCUAAGAAGUACAGAACGGAGGAAGCUGCCCGUGAGCUAAUGGCUGCCGCAGUCAGUGCCAAGGUUACAAGUAAGAAGCUGAAGAAGUAUGAAAAAGAAUACAUUACCAUGAAGGAGCAAGAGAUGCAACAAGAGGACCCGAUUGAGAGGAUGGAGAGAGAAAACAAACGUUUGCUGGAGGAUAACAUGAGACUCGAACAAGAAAAUGAUGACUUGGCACAUGAACUUGUGGACAGUAAACUCACACUGAAGAGCGAGCUUGAUGAGGUUCAAGAUCAAAACAAAGAAAUGAAAACCGACUUGACAAAGCAUAAAAAACUCCUGAAGGACACACAGGAGGAGAAGCAUCGCCUGGAGGUCGAGAAUCAACAGGUCAAGGAGAUGUGUAGGAAAGAGUUGGAAAGGCUGGAGACGGAGAAUUCCAGGAACACUGUGAUUGUGACUGACUACAAACAGAUUUGUACUCAGCUGAGUGAGAGACUGGAGAAACAACAAACUGCCCACCGAGAGGAGCUCUCCAGAAUCAAGAUAUUAGUCAAAUCUUGUGAAGCCUGUUCUAAAAUGUUUGAUGCUGAUGGAAAAGUCAAUUUACCUGAACCAAAAAUAGAUCCCGAGAAAAUGAACCCGAAGAUCGUAGACUUACAACAACAAGUGCGCGAGCUGGAGUUGGAACUGGCCCAGACAAAGCUGGCUCUGGUCGAGUCCGAGUGUAAGACACAGGACCUGACUCAUUCCCUGCAUGCUGCGGUCAGCGAAAUCCAGGCAUCCAAGAACACGUGGUUCACAAAGACACUCAACUCGAUCAAGGAAGUGGCGAACACGCACACGGGUAAAAAAGAACCAAAGGACUGAACCGGACACACCAAUUCCAUAUUUAUAGUGCAAUCCAGCUUGUGAUAUAUAUUGUUUCAUUAUUGAUUAUUGUAUGUUGUAAUAUGUAACCAUUUGCUAUGUAAAGCAAUGUCUUAAUAUCAUCACUUCCAG
rnacentral:misc_RNA from 1 species